UCGAACUCAGAAAUUCCCCUGUCUCUGCCUCCCAAGUGCUGGGAUUAAAGGCGUGUGCCACCACUGCCCAGCCCCUGCUUCACUUCUGACUCAUCUUGAAAUGAUUUCUGAGAAGCAGGCAAGGACCUUACGUCACAUAAGUGGAGACCCCUAAAGACAAAGGGACCCCUUUUAGGUUGCUGGUAGCUAUGUUGGACUGUGUAUUGCUACUGCUGCUGACAAGUCUACCUCCAAACUAAACUUCCCCACAUCUGUCCAAGCCUCCAUCCUCACUUCACCCCAGGUCUGCUAGAGGGAUGUGGUGCCAGGCUCUGCUAAUAGACUCCAGUGGCUGCUCAUCAGGCAGCGAGCUGGCUCUGCAGCAGCCCGGGUAAGCUCUGCCCUGGCUCCAGCUUCGGCACACUCCCCUUUCUGCCUUAUGCUUCACUCAAGGCUCUGGCCUCAAGCCUGUGCACCCCAGACUUUGGGCCUGGGUGGCAGGGGUUGGCUUUCCCCUCUGGUCAGCAGGCUGGCUCCCAGUAUUAUUUCCUUCAUAGCACUUUCCAUCAUCAGGCGCUGCUACUGCAGCAGCAUUUUACCCAUGGGCCUGGCUCCAGCUUGUAUUUUCUGGGGGGUUUUUGUGUCUUUUUUUUUUUUUUUCCUUUUGAAUUACGUUUAGUGAGGUGGGAAGGGAGAACCUACAUGCCACUACAUGUGUGUGUAGGUCAGAGACAACCAAUGAGAGCCAGUUCCUUCUUUCCAUUAUGUGUGUUGUAGGGAUCACACUGUGGGUUGGCAGGCUUGACGGCAAGCCCAGGUCUUGGUGUUUUGAUUGAUGUGAGCUCUUAAGAGCAGAGCUGGCCCUGUGGUACCUCCUACACCCAGUCAGUUGGCACCUGAGGCGAGCGACCCUUCUCCUUGGCAAUCUCGUAACUGAAAGGUUUUGGGGACUGGGUUCAAGGGACACACUGAGGCAGACUGCCAUCUUGGUAGGGGAGUUAUUUGCAUGUUAACACCGUGGAAAAAGAGUGUGAUGGGGGCCCUGGGGAGAGAGCUCAGGUCCUCGAGGCAGACUGGGAGUCCCUUCUUAGGGCUUUCAGAAGAAGGGGGGCUUUCUACCGUGCAGUUGAGCAAGCACAGCAUUGGCUGGCACUCCAGGGAAGGAGGAGUGUGUGACUGCAAAGGCAUAGGGGAAGUUGGAAUGGAUGACUGACUGUCUAGUCAGGUCGAGCCCACUUAGACCCAUGGCACUCUCAUGGAGUCCGAGGUCUGUGAGCUUCCUUCAGGAAAUGCUGUACCUGCCAUUCUCUUGGAAAUAGGGCACCUGAGGCUGUCAGAGGCCCACAGGUACACAGGCUCUUGGAGAGGGCUAACUGUUCCCACAGAGCAGCUGUAAGGAGGAGGCCACUGCUGCAGGUGGGCACAUCCUGAUUAGCUCCUCAUCAGAAGCCUAAUACUGUUGACCUGGCAAGAAUGAAGACGUUCGCAACCUUCCUAAUGCUGCGACUUUAAUACAGUUCCUCAUGUCGUGGUGACCCCAAACCAUAAAAUUAUUUUUGUUGCUACUUCAUAACUGAAUCGUAAUGUAAAUAUCUGUUAUCCGCUGGUGACCCCUGUGAAAGGAUCAUUCUGCCCCCCUGAAAAGGUGGGGUGAUCCCCAGGUUGAGAUCCGAUGUUGUUUAUUCACCUCUCCUGUUGGCUUUCAGCACAUUUCAGUGCCUUGGAUGAAUGUCCUGAGAUUCUCCUGUGAGGGAAAGGAAAGGGCUGAGGGCAAGGAUGGAGCUUGUUUCCUGCAAACGAGAUUUCUGACAGUUUGUCUGACCACCUUGUUGGAGGAGGUAGGCAGGAUACUGUUGGGGCGUUGCUGGGUCUCUAGUUCUCUGCUGUGUAGCCACUACAUCUCUCCCCCCCGACCCCCCGGCUUGUUUAAUAGAUCUGUUGAGGAUUGGCAGCCAAAUUUAGGCAGCUGCUAGUGCCCAGCCCCUGCUCCUAACUGCUUGUGUACCAGUCUCAUGUUCAUGGGGUGAAGGUAGCUUCGAGAAAUGACUGAUGGGAACCAAGGUGCAGCCUGGCUGAAGUGACACAGAGAAGGGAGGAGGACCAGGACUAACCCUGCAAUCCGAAAGGUCUUGAAUAGUGGGGCUCAGAGGGGACACCAAGAUGGACUGUGGGAGCAAGGAGUUUAUUAGAAGAGUUAUUAAUGCCAUGAACAGACAGCAGCAGCAUGGCUGGUCAUCUGCAGACAGUCUGGAUCCCUUACAGGCCCCAGCAGCAGGGGAUUUCACAGCCAGGCUCUCUCAUCCUGCAUCGGAGAAGGAGAGGUGUGGGAUGUGUGGCCACAGUAGCCAUAGCUACUUCUCCAAGUAAGAAAUCUGGGCACUUGGAAGUCUAUUAGCUAAGGAUUUACAGACAGAGCCCUCAAUGGGGGUGCCUUUCAGGAUCUGAGACAGGAGGGGCCCCUGCAAGUGUGACGACUGAGCAGCAGUCUGGUUUGGAUUCUAUCCUAGGCCAGGUGCCCCACAGGGCCUGAGGUGUCUUGAAGCCAUGGGCAAGAGCCUGGGGGCUGUGCCCUUACCUUCUGCAGUGGGGUAAGGGGGUGGGGGGAUGUGCUCCCUUUAGGAACAUCAAGUGGCUUUAAGUGGCAUCAAGUGGAAGGGAGCACAGAGAAAAAGUCAAUGCCUUUAAGAUAGAAUGAGUAUUGUGAAGCCAGAAUGGGGUGCUGCUAUUUGACUGGGACCCAUUUUUUGGCCCCACCCUCCCACUGUCAGUGGAACCUAGAGUACCCAAGCCAGAGUAAAGUGUCUGCUGGAGGUCAGCAGAGAGGCUUCAGUGGGCUCCAGAUAAGUACAGACCCUAAUUGUAGACCGUCUUGGCUGUGCCUGGGACCUAGCAGAAGGCUUUGAGAUUUUGAGCAAGCAUGCCGUAAGGACGCCCUUGUGGGAAGGACCGGGAGCCAGCAGACUUGGGUUUCACCCUGGAGAUCUUGAACCCUAGGUAUGGAGAGUUCUCAUUCCAGGAUUCUGGGCCUGAGAAACCUGCUGCAUUGAUCAUGGCCAUACCUGAGCCACUGCUCCAGCAAGGAGGUGACCCCACCCCCUGCCCUGCACAGAAGCUGUGCAGGACCAUGCAGAGAUUCAAGGACAGAAAUGGAGGCCCUGGCUUGGUAUGCUUGGUGCCUCGUCCAGGUCUCAGAUUCCUUCUUCACCUCCUGGUUUGCUCAUGUAUUUUGAGCCCCAUUCCUGUCUCUGUUGCUGUAAUAAGCAACAGAUCUGAAUUUGGAGAGCACCUGCUCAAAUUUCCAGGGUUUCUAUUGUUGUGCUUUGACAUGUGAACUGGGCUCACAGGAUAGAGAGGCGACAAUUCUCUGAACUGUUGGAAAUAACAGAAAGAGCAGCAGACAGAUCGGACCCUGGAAUCAAGUUUGGUGGGUGGCGAAAGCCCGCAGAAACGAUCUUGUCCAUAACUUAGGACAGUCAGCUCAGCAGCUUGGUUUGUGGAGGCUGAGUCCCCUAGGAGGGAGCUCAUUUAUGCCACUCCUGGGUUUCAGCACCAGAUGAAUG
rnacentral:lncRNA from 1 species